rnacentral:rRNA from 1 species
UUCUACAGCCAUGCCACCCUGAACAAGCACAAUCCUGUCUGAUCUGGGAAGGGCCUGGUUAGUACUGGGAUGGGAGAUCACCUAGGAAGACCAGGUGCUGUAGGUG